rnacentral:rRNA from 1 species
UACGUAGGGGGCAAGCGUUGUCCGGAAUCAUUGGGCGUAAAGCGCGCGUAGGCGGCCCGGUAAGUCCGCUGUGAAAGUCCAGGGCUCAACCCUGGAAAGCCGGUGGAUACUGCCGGGCUAGAGUCCGGAAGAGGCGAGUGGAAUUCCUGGUGUAGCGGUGGAAUGCGCAGAUAUCAGGAGGGACACCAAUAGCGAAGGCAGCUCGCUGGGACGGUACUGACGCUGAGGUGCGAAAGCGUGGGGAGCAAACAGG